AACAGAACACAAUCUUCAUCAUCACACAAGACACAACAACAACAAUGAACAACAUCAUCAUCUUCAUCUGGACCAUUGCAGCUUUUAUUCAAGCAUCCAGAGGAGUCACUCUGACUCAACCUGAAAUUAAAACUGUCCAACAGGGUCAAACAGCUACAAUAGAGUGUAAUAUAGAUGUAGGAAUAUACAGCAAUGGCUUAUACUGGUAUCAGCAGAAACCUGGAGAAGCUCCUAAACUCCUCAUUUAUGGCAUAAACACCCUCCAGUCAGGAACUCCAUCUAGAUUCAGUGGCAGUGGAACAGCGAAUACUGGACGAGAUUUCACUCUGACCAUCAGUGGAGUCCAGACUGAAGAUACAGGAGAUUAUUACUGUCAGAGUGUACACUGUCCUAGUAGCUGUGUGUUCACACAGUGAUAAAGAGUCGUACAAAAACCUCCGUCAGUCAGAGUCACAGUGACUGCACUGAUACAGCUGAGAGAUACUGCAGCUGCUGAUGAUUUACUUUCUGUUAUUUCUUAUAACAGUCUCGUUCACUCAAAAAUGUAGAAGUCUUGUUCUGAUUUGUGAGUCUUUUUUGGAUAUUUGAUCUGUUUUCUACACACAACUUCACCAUGGAUGUAUUUAAUUCAUCAUUCAAAAUGAUCCACCAUUAAACAGUCCAAUCAAAUCUGAUGAUACCCAUCCAGGGAAAGAGCAGUCAGAAUACUCAUGUCCUUUCAAUCCAAAAUUACACAAAAUGAGUUCUGCAUGAUUUCCUUUUACGUGUCAUAAAACAUAAAAAAUUAAUUCUUCAUUUUUUUCAUUUUUUCUUCUUCUUCUUCUUCCACAGUGAAAAUCUUAAAUGAUGUAUUGUGUUAAGAAUCAUUCUGUGAUUGAAAGGCAGUGGUGAAAAUGAUGUUUUGGAGUUAACACAAUCAAAUAACAUUUGCAGCCUGUUGCUGCUUUCCUACAUGAAGAUAUGAGAAAUAUGUACGACAUUUCAGGACUUACUAUGUCACAAUAAAAAUACAUUAUCAAU